rnacentral:rRNA from 1 species
AGUAACGGCGAGUGAAGCGGUAACAGCUCAAAUUUGAAAUCUGGCCUCACGGUCCGAGUUGUAAUUUGUAGAGGAUGCUUCGAGCAUGGUCUGGCCUAAGUUCCUUGGAACAGGACGUCAUAGAGGGUGAGAAUCCCGUAUGCGGCCAGGUGCCUACGCUCAUGUGAAGCUCCUUCGACGAGUCGAGUUGUUUGGGAAUGCAGCUCAAAAUGGGUGGUAAAUUUCAUCUAAAGCUAAAUAUUGGCCAGAGACCGAUAGCGCACAAGUAGAGUGAUCGAAAGAUGAAAAGCACUUUGGAAAGAGAGUUAAACAGUACGUGAAAUUGUUGAAAGGGAAGCGCUUGCAACCAGACUUGCGCGCGGCCGAUCAUCCGGUGUUCUCACCGGUGCACUCGGCCGUGCUCAGGCCAGCAUCGGUUUUGGCGGCUGGAUAAAGGCCCUAGGAAUGUAGCUCCUCUCGGGGAGUGUUAUAGCCUAGGGUGCAAUGCAGCCUGCUGGGACCGAGGACCGCGCUUCGGCUAGGAUGCUGGCGUAAUGGUUGUAAGCGGCCCGUCUUGAAACACGGACCAAGGAGUCUAACAUCUAUGCGAGUGUUUGGGUGUCAAACCCAUACGCGUAAUGAAAGUGAACGGAGGUGAGAACCCUUAAGGGUGCAUCAUCGACCGGUCCUGAAGUUUACGGAAGGAUCUGAGUAAGAGCAUAGCUGUUGGGACCCGAAAGAUGGUGAACUAUGCC